GACGAACGCUGGCGGCGUGCUUAACACAUGCAAGUCGAGCGGAAAGACGCGGAGUUUGUGGGGCGCACGAGUGGCGAACGGGGGAGUAAAACGUGAGUAACCUGUCCUUGUCUUUGGGAUAUCAUCACGGGACUGGGGCUAAUACAGGAUAGGAUCUCCUGCAGCAUGGUGGGGGAUGGAAAGAGUCGGCGGUUGGGGCUGGAAUGGCGGCUUAUGAGCUGCAUGGUCGAGUAGUGGAUGACAAGGGCUGUGACGGGUAGCCGGCAUGAGAGCGUGACCGGCCACAUUGGGCCUGAGGUACGGCCCAGUCUCCUACGUGAGGCAGCAGUGGGGAGUAUUGCACAAUGGGCGGAAGCGUGUGGCAGCAACGCCGCGUGCGGGAUGACGGCCUUCGGGUUGUAAACCGCUUUCGACUGUGACGAAGCGUGAGUGACGGUAAUGGGUCAAGAAGCACCGGCUAACUACGUG
rnacentral:rRNA from 1 species